rnacentral:rRNA from 1 species
AGCAGCCGCGGUAAUUCCAGCUCCAAUAGCGUAUAUUAAAGUUGUUGCAGUUAAAAAGCUCGUAGUUGAAUUUCGGGAUUAGUGCGCCGGUCGUGCCUUCGGUAUGUACUGGUGUUACUGGUUCCUACCUUCUGACGAACCGUCAUGUCAUUAAUUUGGUGUGGCGGGGAAUCAGGACUGUUACUUUGAAAAAUUAGAGUGUUUAAAGCAGGCUCGCGCUUGAAUACAUUAGCAUGGAAUAAUGAAAUAGGACGUUCAAUCCUAUUUUGUUGGUUUCUAGGAUUGACGUAAUGAUUAAUAGGGAUAGUUGGGGGCAUUAGUAUUCAAUUGUCAGAGGUGAAAUUCUUGGAUUUAUUGAAGACUAACUACUGCGAAAGCAUUUGCCAAGGAUGUUUUCAUUAAUCAAGAACGAAAGUUAGGGGAUCGAAGACGAUCAGAUACCGUCGUAGU